UACGAAGGGGGCUAGCGUUGUUCGGAAUUACUGGGCGUAAAGCGCACGUAGGCGGAUCGAUCAGUCAGGGGUGAAACCCCAGAGCUCAACUCUGGAACUGCCUUUGAUACUGUCGGUCUAGAGUAUGGAAGAGGUGAGUGGAAUUCCGAGUGUAGAGGUGAAAUUCGUAGAUAUUCGGAGGAACACCAGUGGCGAAGGCGGCUCACUGGUCCAUUACUGACGCUGAGGUGCGAAAGCGUGGGUAGCAAACAGG
rnacentral:rRNA from 1 species